GAUGAACGCUGGCGGCGUGCCUAAUACAUGCAAGUCGAGCGGACGGACGAGAAGCUUGCUUCUCUGAUGUUAGCGGCGGACGGGUGAGUAACACGUGGAUAACCUACCUAUAAGACUGGGAUAACUUCGGGAAACCGCAGCUAAUACCGGAUAAUAUUUUGAACCGCAUGGUUCAAAAGUGAAAGACGGUCUUGCUGUCACUUAUAGAUGGAUCCGCGCUGCAUUAGCUAGUUGGUAAGGUAACGGCUUACCAAGGCAACGAUGCAUAGCCGACCUGAGAGGGUGAUCGGCCACACUGGAACUGAGACACGGUCCAGACUCCUACGGGAGGCAGCAGUAGGGAAUCUUCCGCAAUGGGCGAAAGCCUGACGGAGCAACGCCGCGUGAGUGAUGAAGGUCUUCGGAUCGUAAAACUCUGUUAUUAGGGAAGAACAUAUGUGUAAGUAACUGUGCACAUCUUGACGGUACCUAAUCAGAAAGCCACGGCUAACUACGUG
rnacentral:rRNA from 1 species